GGACCCGUAGCCUAGCCUGGAUUAGGGCGUCGGCCUCCGGAGCCGAAGGUCCCCGGUUCGAAUCCGGGCGGGUCCGCCA
rnacentral:tRNA from 1 species